ACGCUCGACACCUACGGGAGCAGCAGUGGGGAAUAUUGGGCAAUGGAGGAAACUCUGACCCAGCAACGCCGCGUGAGUGAUGAAGGUCUUCGGAUUGUAAAGCUCUUUAAGCGGGGACGAAGAAAGUGACUGUACCCGCAGAAUAAGCCUCGGCUAACUACGUGCCUAGCAGCCGACGGUAAUCUGAGGCGGGCGUGGACGAAGGC
rnacentral:rRNA from 1 species